rnacentral:rRNA from 1 species
GACGAACGCUGGCGGCGUGCUUAACACAUGCAAGUCGAACGGUGAAGGGAUCAGCUUGCUGGUUCUGGAUGAGUGGCGAACGGGUGAGUAACACGUGAGUAACCUGCCCCCUUCUUCUGGAUAACCGCAUGAAAGGGUGGCUAAUACGGGAUAUUCUGGGUCUGUCGCAUGAUGGGUCUGGGAAAGAUAUUGUUUCGGUGGGGGAUGGGCUCGCGGCCUAUCAGCUUGUUGGUGGGGUGAUGGCCUACCAAGGCGGUGACGGGUAGCCGGCCUGAGAGGGUGGACGGUCACACUGGGACUGAGACACGGCCCAGACUCCUACGGGAGGCAGCAGUGGGGAAUAUUGCACAAUGGGCGCAAGCCUGAUGCAGCGACGCCGCGUGAGGGAUGGAGGCCUUCGGGUUGUAAACCUCUUUCGCCAGUGAAGCAGGCCUGCUCCGUGUGGGUGGGUUGACGGUAGCUGGAGAAGAAGCGCCGGCUAACUACGUG